rnacentral:tRNA from 1 species
UAGCUCAGAUGGUAAAGCGUCUGCCUACAGUGCAGGAGACCCGGGUUCAAUCCCUGG